ensembl:lncRNA
UUGAUAUCUUACAGAGAACAUAAAGUUCAGAACAAAGAUUAUGUCUUUUAGGUCAGGUCACUGUUUAAAACUCACAAUCAGUGUGACAUUUUUACAUAGCUUCUGUUUCUUUGUAAAGCACUGCCUCAUAAAGCUCAUUGUGAAGAAUGCCUACACCUGCGUUACACAACACCAUCUCAUGGAUGAACAAGGGUGGGUAAAGCAGGUCUACAUCCAGCGCACCCUUAUCUUCUGUAACAAAGCUGCUGAAGAGGAUUAUGCUGCUGUUGCCUCAGAAACUUAGUCACCAGUGGAAAGAGAGCACAGAGAGGGGUGGGGAGUCCACGCAGAGAGUAGAAACAGACAGGCAGGCGAUACUACUGCUACAACCCUUCACACACACACAGCACCAGCUUUUUCUUUCUUUCUUUCUUUUUUUUAGGCUGACACAGAUUUUUUCUAAAACCUGCCACCAUGUGGCACCCUUUGAUUAUCGGCAUCAUGACAGUGAACACCUCUCUAACCGUCUUCUACUGGGCCUUCAUCCUGGGCGAUGCUUACUACAAGUGGCUGAUGGAGCCAGAAGACAAGCCCAAGAAGGUGGUCACCCCAGCUUGAGGGAGCCAGUAUGGAUCUACCUGAAUGAGUGACUGGAUGUUAUUUGCUUAGGAAUACUCUGCUCAGCUAGUAGUGCUUACAGUGAAUUUCUGCUUCUUUUUUUAUGUAUUCUUUUUUUUUUUUUAACUGGAAAAGCCUUGGAUUCCUGUUUUGAACUGAAAAAAUAACCUAAAGCAAUCUGCAAGUUGAUGAGAAGAAUCAUUCUUACAGGUAAAGUGUCAAUUUAUCUUAAUAUUUAUUUCGCAUCAUUUUAUUGUGUUUUAGCUACAUUUGUUGCUUGCAGUGUGAAUCAACACACACAUACACACUUCACACACCAUCCGCAGGCAACAGGUCCUUCAGGUGACACUAAAUGAACCGUUUAAGCUUUCUGCUGACUCGGUGAAAAGGUUUUGUUGGUGACAGUGGCAUGAGUCAAGCAAAUCCUGUUAGGAUUACUAAACUACUAAACACCACCUCUAAACUGGCACAGUUGGUGUUACUUUCGUAACAGCUUCAUCCUGAGACACAUUCAGAAACCCUCGUCUCAUCUCUCGUUUGCAUCUCUCCUGAAAGCUUAUUUUUCACUCUUCCUCCUUUUCCUUUUUCUCUCUAUUUUAUUUUAUUUUUUACAUCUCUCCACAACAUGUCGCACGUCUUCUACUGGGGUAUGCACCCAGUCUCUUGGUUCAUUCUUUUCGCCAAUAUAGCCGUAACGGUCAUUGAAUGGAAGUUUCUUGCCUCUCAGUUUUACAAACUUAACUGGAAAAAGGAAGAACAACAAGCCAAUGCCUAAAAUCCUGGUGGAAACCACAUCCACAUCCUGAUGCUGCACUGAGAAUAUUUAGCUGCUUCUGUACAGUUCACCCCAGAAUUCAAAAACAAAAAACCAGAGGAAUCGUCUCAACUCUUUGCUGCAGUUUCCUUCAUGUUCACCCUCUGGUUUGUGGAUAGGAUAACCUUCCCAGUGGUGUCUGUUAUUCUUUUAAGACUGGAUAUUUGGCCCCAAACCAGUGGAGGAUGAUUCAGAGGGAGGGGAUGCAGAAAUAGAGGAAGAGAGGCGACUCAGCGUUUCCAGCAAGCUGUUGGAGAAAGAUGAGAUCAGAAUGGAGGAAGAAAAAGAAGGCCAGCUGCCUGGUUUCCACCAGGGAGACGCAGGCCGCUGUCGUCCAUCCACCCCUCCGCUGAGAAGCGCCAUUGCUUCGUCAUACCCUGGAGAAAAAAGGAUUUCCACACAUAGCGUGACCUUCGCCUGCCCCGUGGCCCCUUACGUCACUUCCCUUUGAGUUUUUUCAUCACAGCAGUUUUUAUUACGUCUUAAUCACAGUGCAGUGAUCAGUGAUGUCCUCGCUGUAGUGAUGCAGAGGCUGAGGCACUCUUGUUUUAUGCUGGUGUUAUAGUUAGCGUGCAAAAAAUGUACAAGAAAAUGUUGUUAGUAAGCACGAUCCAUACUGUCAGUCUGUUUCUACUGCACCAUGCUGAAAUUCGCUGUCCAGCUGCUCGUGGUAAAAACUGUAAACAAAUUAAGUUUCAAGUAAAAAUAUCAGUUAUGUUAAUAACUUAACUUUACAUCUAAAAAUGUUCAUUGGAAACACACUGUGUCCAGUUCGUCCACAAGGCUAGACAGAAAGUGUUGUGAAAUUGCAAAAUCAAAAAGACUUGUCAUGUUACAUGUGCUUGUAAUGUGUUUCUAAAGAAAACGUACAUCACUUCUCCUGGUGUUGGACUAAGCUUCUCCCCAAUAAACAACUCGAUAAUACACGCUCGUUCCUCCUGUCUUGUCUGCUUUCAUUAAUCCAUCUUACCUUCUCCUAAUACCUGCUUGUGCCCAGGGUGAUGACC